rnacentral:rRNA from 1 species
AGCGCAGGCGGGAAGGUAAGUCGGUCUUAAAAGUGCGGGGCUCAACCCCCGUGAUGGGAUCGAAACUAUCUUUCUUGAGUGCAGGAGAGGAAAGUGGAAUUCCUAGUGUAGCGGUGAAAUGCGUAGAUAUUAGGAGGAACACCAGUGGCGAAGGCGACUUUCUGGACUGUAACUGACGCUGAGGCUCGAAAGCCAGGGGAGCGAAG